rnacentral:rRNA from 1 species
UAAUGCCGCCGCGUGAGGUAAGUCGUCCUGCCGGUUGUGAACCUCUUUCAGUAGGGAAGAAGCGAUAAUGACGGUACCUGCAGAAUAAGCGCCGGCUAACUACGUGCCAGCAGCCGCGGUAAUACGUAGGGCGCAAGCGUUAUNCGGAAUUAUUGGGCGUAAAGAGCUCGUAGGCGGUUUNUUGAGUCAGCCGUGAAAGCCCGGGGCUCAACCCCGGAUCUGCGUUGGGUACUGGCAGGCUAGAGUGAUGUAGAGGAGAGUGGAAUUCCUGGUGUAGCGGUGAAAUGCGNAGAUAUCAGGAGGAACACCGAUGGCGAAGGCNGCUCUCUGGGCAUUAACUGACGCUGAGGAGCGAAAGC